GAAAGCGUUGCCGCAGGCAACGACCCGAAGGGCGAAGCGCGCAGCGCUGAGUAAUCCUUCCCCCACCACCA
rnacentral:sRNA from 1 species